rnacentral:rRNA from 12 species
GACCCGCACGAAAGGCGUAAUGAAUGGAGCACUGUCUCAACGAAGGACCCGGUGAAACUGAAAUAGGAGUGAAGAUGCUUCUUACCCGCAGCAGGACAAAAAGACCCCGUGGAGCUUUACUGUAGCUUGACAUUGGGUUAGGACUUAGACUGUGUAGGAUAGGUGGGAGACUGUGAAGCUGUCACGCUAGUGGUGGUGGAGUC